rnacentral:rRNA from 1 species
GUCUUUUUGAUUAUAAUUUAAAGUCAAGCCUGCUCUAUGAAAUUUUAAAUGGCCGCAGUAUUUUGACUGUGCAAAGGUAGCAUAAUCAUUAGUUUCUUAAUUAGAAGCUGGAAUGAAGGGUUUAAUGAAAAAAAAACUGUCUUAAUUUAAAAAUUAAAACUUUAUUUUUAAGUUAAAAAGCUUAAAUUUAUUAAAAAGACGAGAAGACCCUAUAGAGUUUAAUAAAUUUAAUUUUAUAAAAUUUUAAGAUUUAAAUAAAUUAUAAAUUUAUGGUUUAUUUUAUUGGGGUGAUGAAAAAAUUUGUAAAACUUUUUAAAAUAUAAGUUCAUUAAUAUAUGAAAUUUUGAUCCUAAGUUUUAGAUUAAAAGAAAAAAUUACCUUAGGGAUAACAGCGUAAUUUUUUUUGAAAGUUCUUAUUGAAAAAAAAGAUUGCGACCUCGAUGUUGGAUUAAAAUUUAAUUUUGGUGUAGAAGCUAAAAUAUUAAGUCUGUUCGACUUUUAAAAUUUUACA